rnacentral:rRNA from 1 species
AACGAACGCUGGCGGCAUGCCUAACACAUGCAAGUCGAACGAGACCUUCGGGUCUAGUGGCGCACGGGUGCGUAACGCGUGGGAACCUGCCCUUAGGUUCGGAAUAACUCCCCGAAAGGGGUGCUAAUACCGGAUAAUGUCUUCGGACCAAAGAUUUAUCGCCUUUGGAUGGGCCCGCGUUGGAUUAGCUAGUUGGUAGGGUAAAAGCCUACCAAGGCGUCGAUACAUAGCUGGUCUGAGAGGAUGAUCAGCCACACUGGGACUGAGACACGGCCCAGACUCCUACGGGAGGCAGGAGUGGGUAAUAUUGGACAAUGGGCGGAAGCCUGAUCCAGCAAUGCCGCGUGAGUGAUGAAGGCCUUAGGGUUGUAAAGCUCUUUUACCCGGGAUGAUAAUGACAGUACCGGGAGAAUAAGCACCGGCUAACUCCGUG